UUAAGCGACUAAGCGUACACGGUGGAUGCCCUGGCAGUCAGAGGCGAUGAAGGACGUGCUAAUCUGCGAUAAGCGUCGGUAAGGUGAUAUGAACCGUUAUAACCGGCGAUUUCCGAAUGGGGAAACCCAGUGUGUUUCGACACACUAUCAUUAACUGAAUCCAUAGGUUAAUGAGGCGAACCGGGGGAACUGAAACAUCUAAGUACCCCGAGGAAAAGAAAUCAACCGAGAUUCCCCCAGUAGCGGCGAGCGAACGGGGAGCAGCCCAGAGCCUGAAUCAGUGUGUGUGUUAGUGGAAGCGUCUGGAAAGGCGUGCGAUACAGGGUGACAGCCCCGUACACAAAAAUGCACAUACUGUGAGCUCGAUGAGUAGGGCGGGACACGUGGUAUCCUGUCUGAAUAUGGGGGGACCAUCCUCCAAGGCUAAAUACUCCUGACUGACCGAUAGUGAACCAGUACCGUGAGGGAAAGGCGAAAAGAACCCCGGCGAGGGGAGUGAAAAAGAACCUGAAACCGUGUACGUACAAGCAGUGGGAGCACGCUUAGGCGUGUGACUGCGUACCUUUUGUAUAAUGGGUCAGCGACUUAUAUUCUGUAGCAAGGUUAACCGAAUAGGGGAGCCGAAGGGAAACCGAGUCUUAACUGGGCGUUAAGUUGCAGGGUAUAGACCCGAAACCCGGUGAUCUAGCCAUGGGCAGGUUGAAGGUUGGGUAACACUAACUGGAGGACCGAACCGACUAAUGUUGAAAAAUUAGCGGAUGACUUGUGGCUGGGGGUGAAAGGCCAAUCAAACCGGGAGAUAGCUGGUUCUCCCCGAAAGCUAUUUAGGUAGCGCCUCGUGAAUUCAUCUCCGGGGGUAGAGCACUGUUUCGGCAAGGGGGUCAUCCCGACUUACCAACCCGAUGCAAACUGCGAAUACCGGAGAAUGUUAUCACGGGAGACACACGGCGGGUGCUAACGUCCGUCGUGAAGAGGGAAACAACCCAGACCGCCAGCUAAGGUCCCAAAGUCAUGGUUAAGUGGGAAACGAUGUGGGAAGGCCCAGACAGCCAGGAUGUUGGCUUAGAAGCAGCCAUCAUUUAAAGAAAGCGUAAUAGCUCACUGGUCGAGUCGGCCUGCGCGGAAGAUGUAACGGGGCUAAACCAUGCACCGAAGCUGCGGCAGCGACGCUGAUGCGUUGUUGGGUAGGGGAGCGUUCUGUAAGCCUGCGAAGGUGUGCUGUGAGGCAUGCUGGAGGUAUCAGAAGUGCGAAUGCUGACAUAAGUAACGAUAAAGCGGGUGAAAAGCCCGCUCGCCGGAAGACCAAGGGUUCCUGUCCAACGUUAAUCGGGGCAGGGUGAGUCGACCCCUAAGGCGAGGCCGAAAGGCGUAGUCGAUGGGAAACAGGUUAAUAUUCCUGUACUUGGUGUUACUGCGAAGGGGGGACGGAGAAGGCUAUGUUGGCCGGGCGACGGUUGUCCCGGUUUAAGCGUGUAGGCUGGUUUUCCAGGCAAAUCCGGAAAAUCAAGGCUGAGGCGUGAUGACGAGGCACUACGGUGCUGAAGCAACAAAUGCCCUGCUUCCAGGAAAAGCCUCUAAGCAUCAGGUAACAUCAAAUCGUACCCCAAACCGACACAGGUGGUCAGGUAGAGAAUACCAAGGCGCUUGAGAGAACUCGGGUGAAGGAACUAGGCAAAAUGGUGCCGUAACUUCGGGAGAAGGCACGCUGAUAUGUAGGUGAAGUCCCUCGCGGAUGGAGCUGAAAUCAGUCGAAGAUACCAGCUGGCUGCAACUGUUUAUUAAAAACACAGCACUGUGCAAACACGAAAGUGGACGUAUACGGUGUGACGCCUGCCCGGUGCCGGAAGGUUAAUUGAUGGGGUUAGCCGCAAGGCGAAGCUCUUGAUCGAAGCCCCGGUAAACGGCGGCCGUAACUAUAACGGUCCUAAGGUAGCGAAAUUCCUUGUCGGGUAAGUUCCGACCUGCACGAAUGGCGUAAUGAUGGCCAGGCUGUCUCCACCCGAGACUCAGUGAAAUUGAACUCGCUGUGAAGAUGCAGUGUACCCGCGGCAAGACGGAAAGACCCCGUGAACCUUUACUAUAGCUUGACACUGAACAUUGAGCCUUGAUGUGUAGGAUAGGUGGGAGGCUUUGAAGUGUGGACGCCAGUCUGCAUGGAGCCGACCUUGAAAUACCACCCUUUAAUGUUUGAUGUUCUAACGUUGACCCGUAAUCCGGGUUGCGGACAGUGUCUGGUGGGUAGUUUGACUGGGGCGGUCUCCUCCUAAAGAGUAACGGAGGAGCACGAAGGUUGGCUAAUCCUGGUCGGACAUCAGGAGGUUAGUGCAAUGGCAUAAGCCAGCUUGACUGCGAGCGUGACGGCGCGAGCAGGUGCGAAAGCAGGUCAUAGUGAUCCGGUGGUUCUGAAUGGAAGGGCCAUCGCUCAACGGAUAAAAGGUACUCCGGGGAUAACAGGCUGAUACCGCCCAAGAGUUCAUAUCGACGGCGGUGUUUGGCACCUCGAUGUCGGCUCAUCACAUCCUGGGGCUGAAGUAGGUCCCAAGGGUAUGGCUGUUCGCCAUUUAAAGUGGUACGCGAGCUGGGUUUAGAACGUCGUGAGACAGUUCGGUCCCUAUCUGCCGUGGGCGCUGGAGAACUGAGGGGGGCUGCUCCUAGUACGAGAGGACCGGAGUGGACGCAUCACUGGUGUUCGGGUUGUCAUGCCAAUGGCACUGCCCGGUAGCUAAAUGCGGAAGAGAUAAGUGCUGAAAGCAUCUAAGCACGAAACUUGCCCCGAGAUGAGUUCUCCCUGACCCUUUAAGGGUCCUGAAGGAACGUUGAAGACGACGACGUUGAUAGGCCGGGUGUGUAAGCGCAGCGAUGCGUUGAGCUAACCGGUACUAAUGAACCGUGAGGCUUAACCUU
rnacentral:rRNA from 1 species